rnacentral:tRNA from 1 species
GCUUAGAUAACUUAAAGGACAAAGUGAAACUCUGAAGAAGUUUAAAUUUAGGUUCAAUUCCUAAUCUAGGCA